CUCAAAUCAGGUAGGGCUACCCGCUGAACUUAAGCAUAUC
rnacentral:rRNA from 1 species